AUUGAACGCUGGCGGCAGGCCUAACACAUGCAAGUCGAGCGGUUGACGGGAGCUUGCUCCCUGAUUCAGCGGCGGACGGGUGAGUAAUGCCUAGGAAUCUGCCUAUUAGUGGGGGACAACGUUUCGAAAGGAACGCUAAUACCGCAUACGUCCUACGGGAGAAAGCAGGGGACCUUAGGGCCUUGCGCUAAUAGAUGAGCCUAGGUCGGAUUAGCUUGUUGGUGAGGUAAUGGCUCACCAAGGCGACGAUCCGUAACUGGUCUGAGAGGAUGAUCAGUCACACUGGAACUGAGACACGGUCCAGACUCCUACGGGAGGCAGCAGUGGGGAAUAUUGGACAAUGGGCGAAAGCCUGAUCCAGCCAUGCCGCGUGUGUGAAGAAGGUCUUCGGAUUGUAAAGCACUUUAAGUUGGGAGGAAGGGUUGUAGAUUAAUACUCUACAAUUUUGACGUUACCGACAGAAUAAGCACCGGCUAACUCUGUGCCAGCCGCCGCGGUAAAAC
rnacentral:rRNA from 1 species